GGAAGACUGCUUGAGUCUAGAAGAUUGAGGCUGCACUGAGCUUUGAUUGCACCAUUGCACUCCAGCCUGGGCAACAGAGCAAAAUUCUGCCUGAAAAGAAAAGAAAAGAAAGUUGUAUGCUGAAAUGCCCUCCUAAUCCUCCACUAUUCAGGCCAACUGAGAUGAGUUUCAAAUAAUCUCUAACAGGCUUGCCAUAUAUUCCUUGGAAUUGGGGCAGAUUCUGGAACUGGUAUCUGAGUCACGCUUACUUGGAAGAAAAUCUGAAGGAGGGAGUCUCUGGCUGUAUGGGCAGGGAGUAGAAGCUGUGCUGGCAGACUGAAGGGAGCUAUGCGAAUGGCAGGGCAAAAACACAUUUCCUAAGGUCCACAUGCAAACCCUGAAGAAGAAACCAGCAUGAGGCAGUUUGAAAACUCUAUCCAAGAGGACCACUGGAGUUAGGGAGUGCAGAGUGGAUGACCCCAGCAGAAGGAGACUGCAGUGAACCACCAGCCAUGGGCUGGGAGAAUGUCAUCAAUUUCUAGCCAAAGGAGGCAUCCCUGCACCAGAAAACUGCAGUUGGAAGUCUCCAAAGGAGGAGUUUAGAAGAACCCAGAGACAUACCCAUGAAAGAAAGGAGGAGCACUUGGGUGCUCAACUCAGAGAGCCCUUACGCCAGAUCACACCCAGGCCUGUCAAAUAAGGAAGACCUUUCCCAUCCACUGCCCUUCUCCUUCUACGCCUGGCCAGCCCUGAAGGAGCCAACAGCAACAUGAAGAGUGGGAGGUAGACCAGCCAGGAGGACAAAGAGAAGAGGCAAGUCUCUGCAAGUUUCCCAGCCCCAGCCAGGGCAAAGGUAGUGAUUGAGAGCUUGGAGUUUAAUAAAAUAUUGAACUGGGCUUUUAAUAUCUGCAAAAGACCAGAAUACUCCAUGGGAUCUGCAGGAAGGAAGAAGGAAUUGAAAAAAGUUAUAACACAAAGUGGAGGAAAAAUAAAGUUUCCUUCUAUUAACACCGAUCCCUAUAUAGCCAACUUUCUGGGUGUGCUUACCUGUAAAGCCACACAGAGCUCCGCAGUCAGAAGGGUUCCACCCUUGGCUUAAUGCUCUGUUGCCAUCUUGAAAUUCUUAGUAGUUUUUAACAUGGGCCCCACAUUCUCAUUUUGCACUGGGCCCUGCAAAUUACUUAGCCAGUCCUAGUUACAUAUAUAACAGGGACUUAGCCCUGUUCUAUAUGACCCCAAUUGAUAGAAUGGAACCAAUCGGUGGGAGGUAGAAAAAAAAAAAAACAGAUUUUAGCUCAAUACAGUAGUCCCCACUUAUCCACAUGGAAUAUGUUCCAAGACACCCAAUGGAUGCCUCAAACCUAGGAUAGUACCAACCCCAACUAUGUUUUUUUCCUAUACGUACAUACCUAUAAUAAAGUUUGGGGUGCAACAGCAAAACUACAUGAAUUUUUUUUCUUCACAAUUUCACCAGUAAAAAAUUCAUUCUCACUGUAGAUCUCAGCAACUUUAAUAUUGUAAUUUUUAUCCUUUCCUUAUUAAGUCAAGAGCUCUUCCCUUUUCACUUAACAGAAGCACUUCCCAGCUUCUUUUAGGCGUGUUCAAACGGCCAGCAUCACCACUUUUGUUCUUUGGAGCCACUGUUAAGUAAAAAUAAGGGUCACUGGAACACAAGCACAGCAAAACGAAUGACGGUCAAUCUGAUAACCAAGACGGCUCCUAUGUGACUCAUGGUGCAAAUGUGACCGAGGAACUUGGGUUUUAUAUUUAUUGCCGAGUCUGGUUUUCUUGAGUUUCAGGGUUCUCUGACCUUUGGACUCAGAUUGAAUCAUACCACCAGCUUCUCUGGUUCUCCAGCCUACAGACAAGCCUGUCAUGGGACUCCUCAGCCUUCAGAAUUGUGUGAGCCAAUUCCCCUGGGUGGAUCCCACCACAGUCUUGCUUUUGGGGAGAUACACAGCUAACAUCGACCCUGCACUGUCUUCCAGCCCCAGGAUGGAGGCUGGGAACUGUUAUUUCUACCUUACUUCAACCCUGCAGUAGCCCAGGUCCCACUCUCUGUUUAUGCACACACACCCUUAGCCCUUAACAUGAGAAUUAUACACGGUAGUUUGAAAAGAGAUGAGCAAAGUUUAAGGGCACCGAGGGCCAUCUGUCUUUCCUUCUGGACAAGAUCAUCUAACAUCGUCCCACAGGCCAAGAGACACAUGUCAUGGGUUCAUGAAAGGGUGAUGGGACCCUAUAACUCAACGCUUGUGUGGCUCGCCAAGCCCCAGUAGAGGGUGGCGCUUGUGGCCUGAGGCCAGCCAACUUCUAAUGCUAUCACCAACCCUGUCCUUAUGGCUCCCCUGGCCUCGUGUUGAGCCAUACCAACCUUUCUCUUUAGGCAGGUCCUCUCUUUUUCUUACCCUCUCCAGCUCAUCUGCCUAGAGCAGUUUUUAUCUAAUCUUGAAAGUGUUGUGGUUUUUCGACACUUUUUAAUUAUCUUUCCAAUCUGUUGUCAUCAACUUUAGUCACUCUUUCUUCCAAGUGGCUUUUUUAUGAUUAUUUUCUCGACUAUGAGUCUAAAAAGACAAUUUUAGAAUUACAGAGCAGAAAUUCCACUUGCUCUGUAUUUGACUGUGUUGACUCUGAGGUUUAAAGAAAAAAAAUCCCUGGGAACAAAUAGCAUAUCUGUUAUUAUGUGCAAACAUUUCCUGGCUAUAAGUGCUCUCUGACCUCCAGAUUAUGCCUCUGAACUCAGAAAAUAUAAAUUUUUAUUUUAAUAAAAUAACUUAAGACACACUCAAAAU